rnacentral:rRNA from 1 species
GAUGAACGCUGGCGGCGUGCUCAAUACAUGCAAGUCGAGCGAACAGACGAGGAGCUUGCUCCUCUGACGUUAGCGGCGGACGGGUGAGUAACACGUGGAUAACCUACCUAUAAGACUGGGAUAACUUCGGGAAACCGGAGCUAAUACCGGAUAAUAUAUUGAACCGCAUGGUUCAAUAGUGAAAGACGGUUUUGCUGUCACUUAUAGAUGGAUCCGCGCCGCAUUAGCUAGUUGGUAAGGUAACGGCUUACCAAGGCGACGAUGCGUAGCCGACCUGAGAGGGUGAGCGGCCACCCUGGAACUGAGACACGGCCCAGACGCCUACGGGAGGCAGCAGUAGGGAAUCUGCCGCAAUGGGCGAAAGCCUGACGGAGCAGCGCCGCGUGAGUGAUGAAGGUCUUCGGAUCGUAAAACUCUGUUAUUAGGGAAGAACAAAUGUGUAAGUAACUAUGCACGUCUUGACGGUACCUAAUCAGAAAGCCACGGCUAACUACGUG